rnacentral:rRNA from 1 species
UACGAAGGGGCUAGCGUUGUUCGGAAUUACUGGGCGUAAAGCGCACGUAGGCGGAUUGUUAAGUCGGGGUGAAAUCCUGGAGCUCAACUCCAGAACUGCCUUCGAUACUGGCGAUCUCGAGUUCGGGAGAGGUGAGUGGAACUGCGAGUGUAGAGGUGAAAUUCGUAGAUAUUCGCAAGAACACCAGUGGCGAAGGCGGCUCACUGGUCCGGUACUGACGCUGAGGUGCGAAAGCGUGGGGAGCAAACAGG